GAAUAAAACUGACAGCCUCACUGGCGGUUGAAUCAUUAGCUGUCUAAUGCAGAGCAAAUCGCUAUUACGCUAAUACCACUCGUUACCUUUCCCUUAGGAUAAUUUAUUUACAGCGGUUUGAGAAAGAACGUAACCUAUUUCUCGUAUGUAACGUCAGCUGUCAGGUCCCUGCGCGGAAGGGCAGCCAACCUUUUAAAUCUGGGUUGCCAAACUUCGUAAAGUGUCCAACUUCGGAAUAAUUUCCACGAAGCAAAAUUGAUAAAACUAAUUGCAGCAAGACAUUGAGCCUCUUUCCGUUCUAGACUAUUCAGAUAAUAGUAGUGCGCGUCGUGUAUCUCAAACAGUAGUGUAAAUGUUAAAAAAUUAACAAUAAGUAAGGUGUAUAAUAGUGUUAUGUGUUUUCUCUUUUAGAUUCUAUAAAAUACUGAAAAAGUUAAGCCUAAUAGUACGGAAAGUUUAAAUUAGUACGGUUGUUCGUAGAAAGUACGCUUCACAAUAGACCCAUAAAAAACGGGAAUUGUAAAAAACAAACAGAACAGUAUAAAGAAAAGGUCCAGAUCUGGGCCUUUUCUUUCCGUUUUCCUUUGGUUUGAAAUCCCGGAGGUAUUCUUCUCUGUAUCCACAGUUUCCUGGACCAGCCAAGCCGUAAAGAGAGUGAGCAAAUACCGUGCGGUAGUGGAACCUACCCCCCCUCCGAUACCCAUCACCCGGCGGCGCCCAUUUUGGAAAUAAACGUCUUCAGGACCAAGUCGCCACCUACCAGGUCCCCAGCGGCCAUUUUGACGACUAAAAUCAACCAAUUAAGGGAUCGGACACACCACGUUUUGCUCCUCGAGUCUGGAUACCGGGCUGGUACCAGUGAAAGCCUUCUCGACGGUGAACCAUCGUCACAAACUGGAUUUCGGUUCAAAUCGGACUUGCUAGAGGCUCCAGGAACCUCCGAACAACCCUGGCCCAGCGAUCGUACACCCAGCUACGCCCUUUGUACCGGUUUGGAAUCGGUGACUGGAUGCAAAUCACCAGCCUGCCCCCACCACAAGCAAGCCUUCAUCUGCAACGCCAUCGACCAUUCCACGCUGUCGUCCACCGAACCCAGGCUCUCGCCGGCAACGCCGUCGGCCUAUCCACGCCGCCAGCCACAGCAAUCAAGCUUUCGC